UACGGAGGGUGCAAGCGUUGUCCGGAAUCACUGGGCGUAAAGGGCGCGUAGGCGGCUCAUGAAGGCUGUGGUGAAAGUCCGGGGCUCAACCUCGGAUCGGCCGUGGCGACUCGUGGGCUGGAGCACUGUAGAGGCGGGUGGAAUUCCGGGUGUAGCGGUGAAAUGCGUAGAGAUCGAGAGGAACAUCAGUGGCGAAGGCGGCCAUCUGGAUCAACACUGACGCUGAAGCACGAAAGCGUGGGGAGCAAACAGG
rnacentral:rRNA from 1 species